rnacentral:rRNA from 1 species
UAAUGGCAGGUCAGCAUACUGCCGUGAAUACGUUCCCGGGCCUUGUACACACCGCCCGUCACACCAUGAGAGUUGGAGAUACCCGAAGCCUGUGAGCUAACAGAAAUGGAGCAGCAGUCGAAGGUAGAAUCAAUGAUUGGGGUGAAGUCGUAACAAGGUAGC